ACAAUACUAAAAGGGAGAUAAUCUCAACUCUCAGCUAUGCCACGUCAUCAAAAAUAAUCCUCCAACCAGAACAUUUCUUUUUGCCACGUCAGAUGGGCUUCGGUCUCCGUUGUGGUAUUUACGUUUGGGCCUCCGUUGUUUACUUUUAUUACUCUGGGCUUCGUCUUCGACAAACCUAAGAAAAAAAAAUUACCUGCAGAGCAUGGAGAUCGCGAUGAAUCCUAAAGCAGACGGAGGUCUCGAGGAUCUAUGCCUCUGCCUCUUCGUCUUCUCCGAUUCAAAGCGUAAAGAGCUCUGAUCGAUCACCUUCUCUACAAACAAAACCAUGUUCUUCUCCCUCCAUCUCGCCGUCAACCCCACUCUUCUCCCCGUCUCCUUCCACUGCUUUCUCCUUCGGCGGAACUCGCCUGAGAUGCCUCAGAUUGGUUACUUCCUGCGUCGCCUCCGUUCAAAUCACUGUCGCUAAUGGUUCCGCCCCAGCUCCUGUUGUUGUGAAGAGAGAGCAGAUUCGUCUUGGUCUUCCUAUCAAGGGACGCAUGGCCACCGACACCAUCGAUCUUCUCAAGGACUGUCAAUUAUUUGUCAAACAAGUCAAUCCAAGGCAGUACGUUGCACCUGCCAAUUUACAACAAUGCCUUCUCUAGGAAGUGAAAAAACGGAGUACAGAGAAGUGAUGAGGAGGCUCGGGGACUGCGCGAGAGCGACGUUUCUUGAGUUCAAGAGUGCUAUUGCUUCUGAUGUCUCCUCUCAUCAUUCCCUGGAGGAGCGGUUCACCAGCUUACGAACUAUGUGAUGAACUACCUCAUGGCGUUGACGGACUUUAGCCAAACGCUCGACUCGCUUCUCAUGGAGCACGAGGUGUAGAGGAUCUCACAAUACUUCCUUCGCCGCCGGAUGUUAUCAAUCCAGAGGAAGAAGAGUUUACCUACGAUUCACCAUAGAAGUUUGUGGCGAUGAAGCCACAUUUCUGCUCUAUAGCUUCGGUUCUUGAAGCUAACCUUCAAGUGAAGUCGAAGCUGUACAGAGAUGUAUCUCUGAGACACAUCUUUCUCCUCAACAACUACACUACAUGACCAGGAAAAGUUAGUUGAGGAGAUGACUAACUUUUCAGGAGAAACUACAUGACCACAAGAUUCUUUUUUCACUGAACCCAAUUUCUAUAGUUACCUCUCAUUCUAAAUGUACUUUUUUCAUAUUACAGUAUACACCUGCGAUUGAGAUCUAGAGUGUUGGUUGCUUUUUUGCGGAAAUGCUUUUGGGUAAGCCUUUGUUUCCCGGGAAAAACGUGGUGCACCACCAAUUGGAUCUUAUGACUGACUUCCUUGGCACUCCACCUCCUGAGUCUAGGAUUAGAAAUGAAAGGCGAGGAGGUAUCUUAGCAGAGGAAAAAACAGCCAGUCCCUUUCUCUCAUAAGUUCUCUAAAGCUGAUCCUUUGGCUCUCCGCCUUCUUGAACGCCUGCUUGCUUUUGAUCCCAAAGACCGUGCAUCUGCUGAAGAUGCACUAUCUGAUCCAUACUUCAGUGGUUUGUCAAACUCAGAGCGUGAACCAUCAACACAGCCAAUCUCAAAGCUUGAGUUUGAUUUCGAGAGAAAGAAGUUAACAAAUGAUGAUGUCAGAGAAUUAAUCUACCGAGAGAUAUUGGAGUAUCAUCCUCAGAUGUUGGAGGAAUACAAGCACGGUGGUGAUCAGCUUAGCUUCAUGUACCCUAGGUUAGCUUCAAUAUUUAUAGAACAUAUUUUAUUUAAACAGUGAUUUUUUUUUGGGGAAAAAGAUGCAAUUUAAUUUUAUUCAAUAAUUAGUAUGUGUUACUCAUAUUAAAUGUGAUUAUAAAAUAUUAUAUCAUAAGAUUA